GUGUCAGCAGCCGCGGUAAUACGAACUGUGCGAACGUUAUUCGGAAUCACUGGGCUUAAAGGGUGCGUAGGCGGCGACUCAAGUCAGGUGUGAAAUCCCCCGGCUCAACCGGGGAACAGCGCUUGAAACUGGGUUGCUCGAGCGAGGCAGGGGUGCAUGGAACUUCCGGUGGAGCGGUGAAAUGUGUAGAUAUCGGAAGGAACGCCGGCGGCGAAAGCGGUGCACUGGGCCUUGUCUGACGCUGAGGCACGAAAGCUAGGGGAGUGAACGGGAUUAGAUACCCCGGUAAUCCUAGCCGUAAACACUGAGCACUGGAGGGGAGGGGCCUUGCGCCUUUUCCCUCGCAGCGAAAGCGUUAAGUGCUCCGCCUGGGGAGUAUGGUCGCAAGGCUGAA
rnacentral:rRNA from 1 species